UGUCCGGUAGGUAAGGCUACCAUAGGGAUACGGGCUGCUGCCGCGAAAUAGUGGAGACACUACGAGAAGGUUUAACAGACUAUGUCGAAAACAAGGCAUAAUCCAACGCAGUUUCACAGCCCUACGGUGCUAAAGCCAGAAUGGUU
rnacentral:sRNA from 1 species